rnacentral:rRNA from 1 species
GAUGAACGCUGCGGCGUGCCUAAUACCUGCAAGUCGAGCGAACAGACGAGGAGCUUGCUCCUCUGACGUUAGCGGCGGACGGGUGAGUAACACGUGGAUAACCUACCUAUAAGCCUGGGAUAACUUCGGGAAACCGGAGCUAAUACCGGAUAAUAUAUUGAACCGCAUGGUUCAAUAGUGAAAGGCGGUUUUGCUGUCACUUAUAGAUGGAUCCGCGCCGCAUUAGCUAGUUGGUAAGGUAACGGCUUACCAAGGCAACGAUGCGUAGCCGACCUGAGAGGGUGAUCGGCCACACUGGAACUGAGACACGGUCCAGACUCCUACGGGAGGCAGCAGUAGGGAAUCUUCCGCAAUGGGCGAAAGCCUGACGGAGCAACGCCGCGUGAGUGAUGAAGGUCUUCGGAUCGUAAAACUCUGUUAUUAGGGAAGAACAAAUGUGUAAGUAACUAUGCACGUCUUGACGGUACCUAAUCAGAAAGCCACGGCUAACUACGUG